rnacentral:rRNA from 1 species
UUAUCCUGGCUCAGAUUGAACGCUGGCGGCAGGCUUAACACAUGCAAGUCGAGCGGGGGAAGGUAGCUUGCUACUGGACCUAGCGGCGGACGGGUGAGUAAUGCUUAGGAAUCUGCCUAUUAGUGGGGGACAACAUCUCGAAAGGGAUGCUAAUACCGCAUACGUCCUACGGGAGAAAGCAGGGGACCUUCGGGCCUUGCGCUAAUAGAUGAGCCUAAGUCGGAUUAGCUAGUUGGUGGGGUAAAGGCCUACCAAGGCGACGAUCUGUAGCGGGUCUGAGAGGAUGAUCCGCCACACUGGGACUGAGACACGGCCCAGACUCCUACGGGAGGCAGCAGUGGGGAAUAUUGGACAAUGGGCGGAAGCCUGAUCCAGCCAUGCCGCGUGUGUGAAGAAGGCCUUUUGGUUGUAAAGCACUUUAAGCGAGGAGGAGGCUACUAAGAUUAAUACUCUUGGAUAGUGGACGUUACUCGCAGAAUAAGCNCCGNUA